GAUGAACGCUGGCGGCGUGCCUAAUACAUGCAAGUCGAGCGAACAGAUGAGGAGCUUGCUCCUCUGACGUUAGCGGCGGACGGGUGAGUAACACGUGGAUAACCUACCUAUAAGACUGGGAUAACUUCGGGAAACCGGAGCUAAUACCAGAUAAUAUAUUGCACCGCAUGGUUCAAUAGUGAAAGAUGGUUUUGCUGUUACUUAUAUAUGGAUCCGCGCCGCAUUAGCUAGUUGGUAAGGUAACGGCUUACCAAGGCAACGAUGCAUAGCCGACCUGGGAGGGUGAGCGGCCACACUGGGACUGGAAGACGGGCCAGACUCCUACGGAGGGAAGCAGUAGGGAAUCAUCCGCAAUGGGCGAAAGCCAGACGGAGCAACGCCGCGUGAGUUAUGAAGGUCUUCGGAUCUGAAAACACUAUUAUUAGGGAAGAACAAAUGUGUAAGUAACUAUGCACGUCAUGACGGUACCUAAUCAGUAAGCCACGGCUAACUACGUG
rnacentral:rRNA from 1 species